CCCAGGAGUGGUUAUAGGAGGAAUAGAACCAAGAGCAUGGUCAGAGGAAUGGGGGAAAUGAGCCAGGAAUUAAACACUGGUUAGAGAUGAUGUACAAAGGAGAUCCUUCAUCUAAAGAUUCAGAAAGUGCCCUCCAAAAUAGGGUAGCUAGCCCUUAUAUAAUACUUGAAGAUUUGCAAAGUGCUUCAGAAUUAUUAUCUCUUUGAUAUUUAGAAUAUUAGAUACUAAGUUUAUCAUUCUCAUUUUACACAUGAGGAAAUAGAGGUAGACAGGUGUGAAAUACCUUGCCCAGUUCUGAGCCUGGCUAGCCAUGCUGGAUUAUUGAAGGGUGGAUGAGCUGCUUGAAUUGUGAAGGGGAGGAUGGAUUUGGUAGUCCCCAACUCACCUAAACAUUUAAUUAUGCUUUUUUGGGAAUCAUAGCACCAGUCAUCUGGGAAAGACAAGGAGAAGACAGUGUCAGUUAAGGGAGGAAGUGAAUACAUGUAGGCCGCAUCAGAUUGGGGAGAAUGGGAAGUCUUCCAUGGUGCUACAAGUUCACAGCUCUCCUUCAUCUCUGAUUUCUACUCCUCUAAAUCCUUUGUUGGUUCCUCAUCUCCCUGUCAUUCCUUAAGUGUGAAUGUCCAUAAGGUUCUUUCCUUGAUCUUCCUCUUCCCUCACUGUACUGUCUCCCUUUGUGAUCUCAAUCAUCCUCAUAACUUCAAUUAUCUAUGAAAAUGAUACCCCAAAUUAUGUUUCCUUAGGACUCCUUUUCCAAUCUCCAGUAACCUGCUAGACAUUUCCAACUAGCUUCCUACUGAAAUCUCAAAUUAUAUCCAGUCCUAAACUUAUCGCUUUCUUUCCCUUUCUUCCCUUUUCUUCCCUCCCAGAGUCCUUUCUCUCUCCUGUUCCCUCACCAUCCCAUAUUCUUUUUUUCAUCCUCCCCAUUUGUUCUCCCUCUUUCCACCUCCCCUUCUUCAUUAUUCCCACUCUUUCUUCUCUUCUCUCUUUUCUUCUCUUCUUCCUCCUCCUCAUCUUGAUUCUUUUUCUUCUCCUCCUCUUUCUCCAACUCCUCCUCCCUUUCCUCCUUC
rnacentral:lncRNA from 1 species